AAAUAUUCUACUCUUGCUAGGGAAAGGUCCUGGUUUCUCCUGUUACUCUAAGGAAGGCCUACUCUUAGGCAAGCCCAUAAUCUCUAGAUACCUUGCCAAAUUUUCAUCUUGGUUUUCCCUUUUUUCUUUAACAGAUGACCCCUGUAAGUUCUUUGUCAUUUUAUUCCUGGUUAAUUAUCUGUUUUUUUAUAAAAAUUAUUUGUGAUGUUAUUGAAUGGAGUUGGGAAGAGAUGCACAAUAGCACAUGUUUAUAUUGUAUUUUCCUCGGACUGGUGCAAUAGACCUCAAGAGCAAUACCUGCUCCCAAGUCUUCACUCAGGUUCUGCUCUUGGGAGAGAGGAAACCCAAACUAAGACAGUAGGUAUAAAUACCCUCAUAUUACAGGUGAGGAUUUAUGGCCCUCAGUUUAAUGCUUUCUUCGGAGGAGGCAAGGGCUGAAGUUGCUACAGACCCAUAUGGACACACUGCCAGUAACUUGGGGUAACUCAGAUCUCCGCCAUCGCUAACAGAUCCAGCCCUUCUGCAGACCAGCUCUCAGCUAACAUACAUCCCUGGUUAGCUCACCCCCGUGAUGGGUGGGAAAAAAUAAUGCUAAAGUCCUGAAUGAGUUAAGAUGUUGAACUGUGGAGUCCUGCUGGCCUGUAUUUUAAUGGGGAAGUAAUCCAAAAUGUGUUGCAUGGGCCAGUGCUGGUCCAUAAAUUGCUUGUUACUGUUCUGUAUAUGAUCUAAGCUCUUCUGAGACCUGAAAAUGUGUAUUUAGAUUACUUUUAUUGCUUGUGUAAGAUUAGUACACUUUAGAGGGAAACAUACAUUGUAUAGGUUAUUAAGAACUUUGUAACAGCAUCACAAACUCCCAUUCAUUUUUUUCCUUAAUUUUCAAGUGUUAUGAAAAUAACAACCUCAGCGUAUUUUUCAAUUUUAUCUAUUUUCUCCUCUAUAUCCGUCACCGAUUUGUAUGUAUUUACAUUUAUAAAAUGUGGAUUGCCUGAAGUUUAUUAAGGUUAAGAGUGUCUGAUGCUCUUCUCAGUACAAAGAUGGUGUUACAUAAAUCUGGGAGGUCAGCUUGGACAGUCAGGAAACAUAGAGGGACACUUUCCAAACUUGAGUUACUUUGAGGUAUACUCAAUGUUUAUUUCUAGCAAGAAAGAUGGGAGUUAUGCCCGUGUUAAUAUCUCUUUAUGUUUGUUUUCUUUAGACACAGACAGCAAUUCUGAGGAUUCUGGGAAUCCAUCAACAACUAGGUUUACAGGUUACGGUUCUGUCAACCAGACUGUCACUGUCAAGCCACCUGUUCAAAUUGCUUCACUAGGAAAUGAGAAUGGAAACCUUUUAGAAGAUCCCUUAAACUCACCCAAGUAUCAGCAUAUUUCUUUUAUGCCAACGUUACACUGUGUCAUGCACAAUGGUGCCCAGAAGUCUGAAGUUGUCGUUCCUGCACCCAAACCCGCUGAUGGCAAAACCAUAGGGAUGCUUGUUCCUAGUCCUGUUGCUAUUUCUGCAAUAAGGGAGUCUGCAAAUUCAACCCCUGUUGGAAUACUAGGGCCAACAGCUUGCACUGGAGAAUCGGAAAAGCACCUUGAGUUACUGGCUUCCCCUUUACCUAUUCCAUCAACCUUCCUUCCACACAGUAGUACUCCCGCUUUGCAUCUUACAGUUCAGAGGCUAAAGUUGCCACCACCACAGGGAUCUUCUGAGAGCUGCACAGUUAACA
rnacentral:lncRNA from 1 species